UUUAGAACUCGAGAUAUGGGCUGAACACUGAAUGAGGUUGCAGGACAGAUUCAGACUUCUCUCUUAUUGUUAAGAGUUGAUCUUCAAAACGGCAGAAUUAAGUCUUGGACUCUUCAUGAAUGUUUUAGGCCUAUGUCUUAGCUUUCUAUC
rfam:Populus trichocarpa scaffold_13_contig_236, whole genome shotgun sequence.